GAUGAACGCUGGCGGCGUGCCUAAUACAUGCAAGUCGAGCGAAUGGAUUAAGAGCUUGCUCUUAUGAAGUUAGCGGCGGACGGGUGAGUAACACGUGGGUAACCUGCCCAUAAGACUGGGAUAACUCCGGGAAACCGGGGCUAAUACCGGAUAACAUUUUGAACCGCAUGGUUCGAAAUUGAAAGGCGGCUUCGGCUGUCACUUAUGGAUGGACCCGCGUCGCAUUAGCUAGUUGGUGAGGUAACGGCUCACCAAGGCAACGAUGCGUAGCCGAACUGAGAGGGUGAUCGGCCACACUGGGACUGGGACACGGCCCAGACUCCUACGGGAGGCAGCAGUAGAGAAUCUUCCGCAAUGGACGAAAGUCUGACGGAGCAACGCCGCGUGAGUGAUGAAGGCUUUCGGGUCGUAAAACUCUGUUGUUAGGGAAGAACAAGUGCUAGUUGAAUAAGCUGGCACCUUGACGGUACCUAACCAGAAAGCCACGGCUAACUACGUGCCAGCCGCCGCCGUAA
rnacentral:rRNA from 1 species